rnacentral:rRNA from 1 species
UGAACGCUGGCGGUAGGCCUAACACAUGCAAGUCGAACGGCAGCACAGUAAGAGCUUGCUCUUACGGGUGGCGAGUGGCGGACGGGUGAGGAAUACAUCGGAAUCUACUCUGUCGUGGGGGAUAACGUAGGGAAACUUACGCUAAUACCGCAUACGACCUACGGGUGAAAGCAGGGGAUCUUCGGACCUUGCGCGAUUGAAUGAGCCGAUGUCGGAUUAGCUAGUUGGCGGGGUAAAGGCCCACCAAGGCGACGAUCCGUAGCUGGUCUGAGAGGAUGAUCAGCCACACUGGAACUGAGACACGGUCCAGACUCCUACGGGAGGCAGCAGUGGGGAAUAUUGGACAAUGGGCGCAAGCCUGAUCCAGCCAUACCGCGUGGGUGAAGAAGG